rnacentral:rRNA from 1 species
CAGCAGCCGCGGGAAUACGAAGGGGGCUAGCGUUGCUCGGAAUGACUGGGCGUAAAGGGCGCGUAGGCGGCGGCCAAAGUCAGGCGUGAAAUUCCCGGGCUCAACCUGGGGGCUGCGUUUGAUACUUGGUUGCUUGAGUGGGGAAGAGGGUCGUGGAAUUCCCAGUGUAGAGGUGAAAUGCGUAGAGAUCGGGAGGAACAUCAGUGGCGAAGGCGGCCAUCUGGGACAACACUGACGCUGAGGCACGAAAGCGUGGGGAGCAAACAGGAUUAGAUACCCCGGUAGUCCCUGUCUCUUAUAC